CAACAGAUACAAAGAGUUCAAUAACAAUUUUUAUAGAGCAAAUUCUUAGCUACAAAGCUAUUCUUGAACACCGCCAUGAGCUAUGCAUUUUUGCCAGGUAUGACCAAGAGGUUGUUAUGAGCGUGGCAUGCAAUCUGCAGCAAUGUUUGUGACCCACUGUCACCACUGCUGAAAUGCACCACACUACUCACCACCUCACUCUGCUUACAUCCCACUGUUUGGUCUCCAUCAAGGUUUAGGAAGCAUCAAUGAAUAUCAGUGGGUGCCAUUUUUACCACACGGAGGAAUUCAGUGGCACACCUUUGCUUCAUCUGCACUUCCACGUCAGACAUCAUCUGUCAAACUGCCUCUCUGCUACCAUCCUUCAUAUAACAACAGCAUGUAAUGGGACAUUGGUGGAAAGGUUCAAACUCUACUGCCAUACCUUCAGCAUCUGCCCCUGAAGUCUUAGGCUGAUAUAAUAAAACAGGAUGCAUUACUUUUGGAGCAGCCCUCAUACGUAGUGGGUAUAGUAUUUGUUGGGAAUUGAUGCUGUGCUAGGAGCAGUCAAAUAUUUCACAUAGAUAAUCCUCAUGGAGUCUCUGUGGGUCAUCAUCUUCAGCAAGAGGCUACAAGGAACAGGGAACAGCCGAUGCGUUCUGUAGAUGGAGAUCAGCACCAAAAACUGAAGAGACACUAGACCUGCAUAUUUCUCAGAGGUAGCCUCCCUGCACCCCUAUUUCCUCGUGUUCAAUCCAAGCAUUCUAGUUCACUGACAUCUGUACUGACAUCUGGAUGCUGGACAGCAAGAAGUGGUAUGUGGGACCAGCUCCUCCACCCAAUGGAACUACAAAUGUCACAGAGAAAAGACUGCACAGACAGAAUUUUGAUUCCCUACAUGGGAUCUGCAAUUUUGGGUGAUGCUUAAGGAAAUCUGGUUCCUUCUUUUCUGCUAAGAUUUUGCCCUGACUCAGACUUCAGCCAAACAAGAACUGGCCCAAGUAGCCAGAGAUAGAGAAGAUGAAUUUAAGAUACAAGAAGAUGGAAUACAUGAGGAAUACAAUGAAGCCAACUCGUAAGGACAGCAAAUAUGCAAGGUCAGUUAUUUUUGAAACUAAAUCUGCUGGUUAUUGAAGAUACCUGAAGAAGGCCUGCUGCCAGGAAAGCUAAGGGAGCAGGCCUCUGAAUGAAGGAAGCACGUCUUCCUAUCACACACAGGGAACAGCUUUGGAUCCCGGAGGAACAGCCCUUCAGCUGAAGUUCCUCUCUGCCUGUUCAUCAUCCUCUCCCAGAUCACGUGACUGAGAGUCUGGAGAGUUCAAUCCUAUGAAUCAUCUGACCUUGAGGAUAAGCCUGCCAUUACAGCUGCUUUUGUACAAGGAUGCUUCAAAGCAGCUGCAGCCUGAAAAAAGCCCCAAACGGUUGCUGCCAGCUAGGUCAGAGCCGCUGUUCAGCAGGGAUCACUGGGGACUGCAGGCACAGGGUCACCACUGGCAGAGGUGGCCUGAAGGUGAGGCCAUGGCUGGGCUUCCACAUGCUGGAUAAAGCAGCUCAACAGAUUGGAAAUCCAGAAACACUAGCAUGAGGGAGAGCCUUGAUUUUGGUCAGUGUUGCAGCUGAAGCACCAACAUGGGGCAGUGUUGGUAACAAGGGCUUGACUGGCAUGCACAGCAACAUGCAACCAAUUCAACAACUAAAGCAAUAUUAUGGGGAAAACUCCUGCUAUCUGGAAAUGAAAUGAGCAAAUACAUUUCUUCAGCCUGAAGUCCCCAACAUGCCUUGAUAAGGGCAAAAAGAAGUGAUACUUUUAGUUUUGAAAGGGGGACAGCCAGGCAGAGAGCUUGCAGUUGUACUGCUCACAAGUAUCGGUUCAAACUGUGGGGGGAAAAGGGGUAAAUAUUAGCAGGUUUUCUGCUUCACUGCACUGUGAUCAAGGCUUAGUUUUUUUGUGUGUUUUUUGUUCUUUUGAAUGUCAGAUUCCAGUCCCAUUUCCUAUUUCAUUUGUUACGAUAACUUUAAAAGAGUAUCCUUUCAAUUUAAUUCUUCUACAUCAUUGUCUAUAGCAGCAGUAUUUUAAAUCUUGGACUGAUGUAGCAAUGACUGGCAAAAGGCAGCAAGUUCACUAUGAAGAGCCCCUACAGGGUAAACCCUUCACUGCAGACAAACCAAAUGAUGUCAUGUAAUGGAAAAAAAGGGACAUCUCACAGGUAAUCACAUUGCUGUGAGGUAAUUAAAGUUCAUCUGCUAGUUGGAUGAGAUAGGGCUUUUUAUAUCUUCACUGACUAUUGCUUGUGUCAAGACCAGCUGUGUUCAGUCUUCCUUUUUCCAAACAACAAAAAGGAGUAGAGCUCAGAAUAAUAAAAAAAAAGGCUUUGUGUGGCUAACCACAAACAAGACACAUGACUGAGUGCUGUAUCUGUUACAUCUCUCUCAAGUUGGAAAACUUUGGACAAGGCUAUUCUGUAAACUUAAAGGGGAACUCUCAAUUCACAGAAUGCAUUUCUUGCUCCCUACUGAAUUAAGUUUUAAAUUUUACUACUUGUCCCCCAGAUUCAGAAAAUCUGCACUUUGGAAAGGAAGCUGCAGAAUUUUUCUCUGUCUGCUUUCUUUAACCUCUGUGCAAAAGUCAGAUUUCCUGGAAAUUUUUGCAGAUUUUUGGACAGUUGCCCUUACAGGAGAAAUAAAACCACCCCUAAGGCUGCUUUUGGUAAUUCAAUGAAGAGAACUAUCAGCUAGUGUGAACGAAGAUAUGAAAUGCUUACAUCCCAAAGGUAUUUUUUUUUUUUAGCUCUGGUAAUGAAUGAAAUGCUUGCGUAGACUUGGUAGUAAUAGCGGAUUGUCAAAAGGAUUCUACAACUCCUGUAAGGAGUCUUGGAACUGUUAAAUAUAAGUUCAGCACUCCUCCUAAUGAAUUGUCCAAAGUGAAAUGCUUUUUAUUUUUUUUUAAAUCCAGAUUUGAGUCAGUACUUAUAAACAAUUUCUUAGAUACUUAAAAUUUUCUGACCAGCCCACAGUCGCAUAAUUCCUCAGUAGCAAUGCAAGGUAUGCAGACUACAAAGCCUGCUUUGUAGACGAUCAUCUUGCCAGAGGCUUUACUUUUUUCUUCUGUUGUACAGUAUUAUCUCCUUACUAGGAUAGCAUGGCUUUUAUUGGCUGUGACUUUAAGAUACAAAGUAUGGUAAAAAGGAACCUCAGGAUUCCAAGUUCAUUUUUCAAGAUAGGAAAAACUAUAUAAAAGGAGUACAUCUAGUUACACAAUAAUGAAAUUCUCGAAAGCUACUACUUUUUUCUUUAUUCCUUUUUGAGUUUGUCUGGGCUAGAUUAUGAAUUGGAGAACUAACAUGGGUUGACAUGAGAGAGAAACUUACAUGGACUGGAAAGAGGCUUCACAACUCUUUCUUUAGAGAGACAAAUAGUCACAGAUUCUAGAUACUUUUCCCUGCUAAAGAAAGCACAGAUGAACAAUAGCUCCUAGAAAUUGUUACUUUGCAUUUGCUUUGUGCUUGGCCUAUGUGCAUUUAAUGUGCAUGUGAAUCCUGGGAGGUAGAUUGCUCUAGAAUUUCUUUCUAUGGAGCACUUUCAUUGUCUAGUAUUUCUAAAGGAAAUAGCAGUCACGGAGUGAUUUAAGGGGUAAUGGACAAUAGGGCCUGGUUCAAUCUUUUGGUCAUCUUACCAUAAAAAUGCCACAGUACUGCAUGUGCUGUGCAUGGGAACAUAGCCAGCCAGUGUGCCACACAAUCAUGGGUGCCACUGCUCCCACCGUGAUAGCUCAAAUCCCAGAAGAAGAGGGCUCAAAUCCCUAAUGUUAGCCCUGUAACCCUCUGCAGCUUUCUUCUCUAUCUGUAUCUUCAAGACAACUAGCAAUCAGAAGGAAAUUUGGGUUCUAUCCUCAGCUUUUUAAAGGAUCUCGUGUAUGUGCACAGUCAGCUGGAGAACAAAGAGCAACUCCAUCAUUCUCCAGAACUCUUGCACCACAGCAGGAGAAAAUGGAAAUAAGCCACAGGCAUUCAGCACUCCUGACAGACAGAGCCAGCAGUGGUAAGAAUCAAUAGUGCUGAUGGUGCCUCACUUUUGCUGAGGUCAGAAAACAGCAUAUUUGGAAACAGCGUACUUGUACUUCUUGAAUAUUCUCUCAACUAAAGCAUAUUCAAGUUUUCAAAAAAGAUGAGUUCAAAACCUAUUGAGCAUAGCAGUCAUUGCAUUGAGACCCAAAUGAAUACAAAAUAUUAAGAAAAAUCCAAAUGCAGGCCAAUAGAAGUGUACGAAAUGCACAUACAGCAGUAUAUAUAUACAUGGUAUGCUAACAAUCAGUGGACAGGCCUAAAAGGAACAUAAAAAUUCAGAAUGAUACUUGUGUCAGGUGGUUCACGUUAUCUGUUCCAUUCCUUAAACAAAAAAGCCUGGGUUUUUAAAUAUCAUGUACUUCAAAGCCUAUUCUAUGUAACCAGCUUUAAAAAAAUAAAACAAAAACAGCUCUCAGUGUCCAACAGCAUAUUGCAAAACCAUUUUGUUUCCCAUCCUUUUAAUUUCUUUCUUUUUUUUUUUUUUUUUC